rnacentral:misc_RNA from 1 species
GAUGAAGAACGCAGCGAAAUGCGAUACGUAAUGUGAAUUGCAGAAUUCAGUGAAUCAUCGAAUCUUUGAACGCACAUUGCGCCCCUUGGUAUUCCAUGGGGCAUGCCUGUUCGAGCGUCAUUUGUACCUUCAAGCUCUGCUUGGUGUUGGGUGUUUGUCUCGCCUCUGCGCGUAGACUCGCCUCAAAACAAUUGGCAGCCGGCGUAUUGAUUUCGGAGCGCAGUACAUCUCGCGCUUUGCACUCAUAACGACGACGUCCAAAAGUACAUUUUUACACUCUUGACCUCGGAUCAGGUAGGGAUACCCGCUGAACUUAAGCAUAUCAAUAAGCGGAGGA